rnacentral:lncRNA from 1 species
GCCCAGAACUGCAGAGAGGAGGGCAGAGGGCACGGAGCGAGACUGAGAAGACCUUUCACCACCUGUUGGUAACUUGGCACCACCUCACCUCGGCCUCCUGCUCUUCCACCAAAAAAGGAGCUGUCCCUUGUCAUGGGAACCAGAAAAGAGGUGACACGGGGUUUGAGGGGAGACACGGGGCCCACGCAUCUCAACGAAAACAAACCCCAGGCCCCACGUCCAGGCAUCGCCCGCAAAGGCUGCAGAAUUAGACCUCGGAGCCCAGGACGGAGGAGGCCCCACACCCGCCCUUCCUCCCGCCACACGAGAGGCGCACUCUCCUGGGCUGGCCCUGUGGUCCCCUCGGUCCUGACAGCUGGGCUCCAUCCCGGCCUCCUUGACCGGGGGCCGCUGGCAGGUCCAGGCUGCCGGGCUGGGAGGUCAGCCAGGGCUGGGGCCACCCCCGCGCCUCGGAACCUGAGCCACACACAGGGCUGGCCCGCCUGGACGGCCGGCUACUGGGGCUGCCAGGACUUCUAAGAAGCCCCACGCUGGCUGGUUGGGGACAGGAGGUGACUCGGCCAGCUGGGCAGACAUCAGGGAGGCCCGGGCUUCUGGUAAACAGGCCUGGGACAGUGAAAUGAUGUAAACAGCAGGUCUGCGUCCGGGACAGUCCCCGGGCUCGGCUCCCUAAUGGCACAGACACGGACGCCGAGGCUCAGAGAGCUUAGAGGACAAGAUGGGGGCUUCAGAGGGGGCCCGUCCGCUGAUCCCCGACCCUCCUCUGACCGUAACGUGAUACUCUGGGUCCCUGCCACACCCUGGGCUGAUGAGUCACCAAAACCUAUUUUACGGAACAAGUAAUACAUGUUCUGUCCCAUCCUCCUGUGUGCAGUCGGGUGCGAGCCCUCAGACUUCACACCUGGACCCCAGGGCACCGCUUCCCGGCUCCCUGCUCCAGUCUGCAAUCUACAUACCGCUCGCUCACACUCAUCCCCUAAAACCAGACUUGAGCCCUGCUCCUUCCCUGCUCAGGAACUAUCACUGGCUCCCUACUUCCCCAAGACCACGUCCAACCCCGUCUUCACUGCAGGGCCUCGGCAGCAGGCUCCCGGCAGCCUUUCUCCCCUUCCGCCCCCUCCACUCGGGCCUCCCUUCUGCUUCUUCCCCCCAAGACGUCCCCCCAACACCACCACCACCACCCACCUGUCUCUGCUUUUCCACAGGGCGCUGCUCCUCCUCCGGAAAUCCCUCUCCUCCUCUGACCAGGCCCUACUGUGCCCUGCGGCUAUCAGCAUCCUGCCCUCGCUGUGCCCGGAGGCUUUUAUUUCUUGCACCGCAUCAAACACCGGUGUUCUUGUACUGCAUCAAACACCUUUCUCACGUGCGUGGAUCUGUGCUGUGCAUGUGUGUUCAGAGCUGGAACAUUCUCUCCGUAUCCAACACAGCAGGCAGCACGGUCCCCACAGAACGUGGGUGCUGCAAACAUACACUGAUUGACUCGACACCCAAAAGACACCAACAACACGCACGGGCUUCUUUUUCCUGCCCUUGGAAAGCAGGAACCGAGUUCCCGUCGUGGCUCAGCAGUAACACAG